rnacentral:misc_RNA from 1 species
UAAUAAGUGUUUUAUGGCACUUUUUAAAUCCAUAUCCACCUUGUGUGCAAUGUCGGUCGAUCUUCUUUUUUUGAGGAUCGACCAAAAUCAAAUCUAAACGGCUUUUAUUUAUUUUUAACUCUUUGUCUGAAAAAUAUUAUGAAUAAACAAUUCAAAAUA